rnacentral:rRNA from 1 species
AACGCUGGCGGCGUGCAUAACACAUUCAUGUCGAACGAGAAUCAGCAGUUAGCUUGCUAACAGCUGAGGAAAGUGGCGGACGGGUGAGUAACGCGUGAGCAACCUACCUUAAUGCAGGGGAUAACGUUUGGAAACGAACGCUAAUACCACAUAACGUAACGGAACCGCAUGAUUCUGUUACCAAAGCUCCGGCGCAUUAAGAUGGGCUCGCGUCCGAUUAGAUAGUUGGUGGGGUAACGGCCUACCAAGUCAACGAUCGGUAGCCGGACUGAGAGGUUGAACGGCCACAUUGGAACUGAGAUACGGUCCAGACUCCUACGGGAGGCAGCAGUGGGGAAUAUUGGGCAAUGGGCGCAAGCCUGACCCAGCGACGCCGCGUGAGGGAAGAAGGUCUUCGGAUUGUAAACCUUAGUCAACAGGGAAGAAGAAAGUGACGGUACCUGUGGAGGAAGCCACGGCUAACUACGUGCCAGCAGCCGCGGUAAUACGUAGGUGGCAAGCGUUGUCCGGAUUUACUGGGUGUAAAGGGCGUGUAGGCGGAGAUGCAAGUCAGAUGUGAAAUCCCGGGGCUCAACCCCGGAACUGCAUUUGAAACUGUAUCCCUUGAGUAUCGGAGAGGCAGGCGGAAUUCCUAGUGUAGCGGUGAAAUGCGUAGAUAUUAGGAGGAACACCAGUGGCGAAGGCGGCCUGCUGGACGAUAACUGACGCUGAGGCGCGAAAGUGUGGGGAGCAAACAGGAUUAGAUACCCUGGUAGUCCACACCGUAAACGAUGGAUACUAGGUGUAGGAGGUAUCGACCCCUUCUGUGCCGCAGUUAACACAAUAAGUAUCCCACCUGGGGAGUACGACCGCAAGGUUGAAACUCAAAGGAAUUGACGGGGGCCCGCACAAGCAGUGGAGUAUGUGGUUUAAUUCGAAGCAACGCGAAGAACCUUACCUGGGCUUGACAUCCCGAUGACCACCCUAGAGAUAGGGUUUCUCUUCGGAGCAUCGGUGACAGGUGGUGCAUGGUUGUCGUCAGCUCGUGUCGUGAGAUGUUGGGUUAAGUCCCGCAACGAGCGCAACCCCUAUUGUCAGUUGCCAUCAUUAAGUUGGGCACUCUGGCGAGACUGCCGGUGACAAAUCGGAGGAAGGUGGGGACGACGUCAAAUCAUCAUGCCCCUUAUGUCCAGGGCUACACACGUACUACAAUGGCCGAAAACAAAGUGCAGCAAAACCGUGAGGUGGAGCGAAUCACAAAACUCGGUCCCAGUUCAGAUUGCAGGCUGCAACUCGCCUGCAUGAAGGUGGAAUUGCUAGUAAUCGCGAAUCAGAAUGUCGCGGUGAAU